rnacentral:rRNA from 1 species
GACGAACGCUGGCGGCGUGCUUAACACAUGCAAGUCGAACGGAAAGGCCUGCUUUCCCUUGUGGAUUGCGGGUACUCGAGUGGCGAACGGGUGAGUAACACGUGAGUGAUCUGCCCCCAACUUGGGUAUAAGCCUGGGAAACUGGGUCUAAUUCCCGAUAGGACUGCAGGGUGGUGCCUGUGGUGGAAAACGAUUUUCUAGUGGUUGGGGAUGAGCUCGCGGCCUAUCAGCUUGUUGGUGGGGUAAUGGCCUACCAAGGCGGCGACGGGUAGCCGGCCUGGGAGGGUGGACGGCCACAUUGGGACUGAGAUACGGCCCAGACUCCUACGGGAGGCAGCAGUGGGGAAUAUCGCACAAUGGGCGGAAGCCUGAUGCAGCGACGCCGCGUGGGGGAUGACGGCCUUCGGGUUGUAAACUCCUUUCGACCGCGAGGAAGCCACCUGGUUGGAAGGGUGGUGACGGUAGUGGUAGAAGAAGCACCGGCUAACUACGUG